UUUGGAUUGAAGGGAGCUC
rnacentral:ncRNA from 2 species